GUCAACAGACACAUUCCAGCCAAUCAGCAGCAGACCCUCCUCCCAGACCCUCCCACCUCCUGGACAGCAUCCAUUUUACAUUCAUUGUAAAGCUGCAUUCUUAGUGAGCUGUCCAGGAGGUGGGAGGGUCUGGGAGGGAGGGUAUGCUGCUGAUUGGCUGGAAUGUGUCUGCUG
rnacentral:miRNA from 1 species